AGUGAACGCUGGCGGCAGGCCUAACACAUGCAAGUCGAGCGGCAGCGCGUCCGACCACCCUCGGGUGGUCGGAUGGCGGCGAGCGACGGACGGGUGAGGAAUGCAUCGGAAUCUGCCUCGUUGUGGGGGGAUAACGUAGGGAAACUUACGCUAAUACCGCAUACGACCUACGGGUGAAAGUGGGGGACCUUCGGGCCUCACGCGAUGAGAUGAGCCGAUGCCGGAUUAGCUAGUUGGCGGGGUAAAGGCCCACCAAGGCGACGAUCCGUAGCUGGUCUGAGAGGAUGAUCAGCCACACUGGAACUGAGACACGGUCCAGACUCCUACGGGAGCAGCAGUGGGGAAUAUUGGACAAUGGGGGCAACCCUGAUCCAGCCAUGCCGCGUGUGUGAAGAAGGCCUCGGUUGUAAG
rnacentral:rRNA from 1 species